UACGGGGGGAGCAAGCGUUGUUCGGAUUUACUGGGCGUAAAGGGCGCGUAGGCGGUCAGCACAAGUCAGUUGUGAAAUCUCCGGGCUUAACUCGGAAAGGUCAACUGAUACUGUGCGACUAGAGUGCGGAAGGGGCACUGGAAUUCUCGGUGUAGCGGUGAAAUGGCGUAGAUAUCGAGAGGAACACCUGCGGCGAAGGCGGGUUGCUGGGCCGACACUGACGCUGAUGCGCGAAAGCCAGGGGAGCGAACGGG
rnacentral:rRNA from 1 species